UACGUAGGGGGCAAGCGUUGUCCGGAAUUAUUGGGCGUAAAGAGCGUGUAGGCGGCCAGAUAAGUCCGAUGUGAAAUCUCGAGGCUCAACUUCGAGCUGUCGGUGGAAACUAUCUGGCUAGAGUCCGGAAGAGGAGAAUGGAAUUCCUGGUGUAGCGGUGAAAUGCGCAGAUAUCAGGAAGAACACCCGUGGCGAAGGCGGUUCUCUGGGACGGUGGACGCUGAGACGCGAAAGCGUGGGGAGCGAACAGG
rnacentral:rRNA from 1 species